AGCCCAUCCAGCAUCCAGAAGCACCCGACAAUCAUCCAUAAAGCCAUCUGUUGCUUAAAACCUUAAAAACAAAAAAUACACCAUUAAAAUACCACCACCAGGGAUUAUAAGUUCCUUCACGGUCUGCUGUUAUUUAAAAAAAAAAUCCCGGACGAGCCCCCAUUUAUGUUACGUCCCCCGACAUGUGUUGUUAAAAUGCGAAGGAGGGGGUAAUAUAAGAAAUGUGACAGUGGAUUUUAAAAUGGUUUUAUUUGUAAUAAAAGGUUCUAAAAACGAGCAAACAGAUGGCUAGCAUUAUAAAGAUAAUGCAAAACGAACAAAAACUCUCAAAAAGGUUAACUUUACACAAAUUAUCAAUUCUAAAAACACCUGGUAAAAACUUAUAUUAAAAGCUUUAACGCAACAAAGGUGUUCUUAAAAAUCCUGAAGUUGAUAAAAGUCUGAAAACAAUCCACUGACUAAAACACCUGGUAAAAACUUAUUUUAAAAGUUUUACCGAAUCGAAGGUGUUUAAAACCGGAGUCAAUAAAAUUGUACCAAACCAAGUUAACCUUUAAAACGAACACACAAAAAGAUCCCACUGGAUCACUCGAGUUUGAACAAAAAAAGGUAAAAACUCAUCCAAACGAAAGGGGUUGAAACCGAGCCGAGACCUGGAGGACAGCAGAGCCCCUGCACUGCUGCCUCCCAGAGUGCUGAAGGCACAGCCUUUUUAUCUAGGUGUUGUUAAUCAACAGGAUUUGGCUCAGCUGUGCUCAGCAGCCUGGAAGAGAGGAGGAGGAGGGGCGGUGUCAGGCUGAUCACUGGAGCUGGGUGAUCCUGGCUCCUGGAUCUCACUGGCCAGACUGGUAGCUGUAACACCAUCAUUAUCCAUCAUGACACAGUUUUAACUCACCACUGUGUGAGGGUUGUUUUGUUGACUUCUGGCAACUGUAUGGUAGUCUCCUCCAUGAUUGUGAAGUUGUUCAGGAUGCACUCUCUAAUGUGCUUGUAAGCAGGAAUGAUGAUGGUCCACCUUGAAAAUGCCACACCUUCCACUCUCUUUGGGUUUGGGUAAGCCCUGCAGAGCUGGACAAAAAUGGCCUCAACAAUCCGGUUGCAAUCUGGCCACUGUCCAGGAAUGCGUGCUCCAGAAUAGCACCUAGGAGGACAAAGGCAAGAAAAAUGGACUCAGGCAAGAUCUGUAGAAGAAUAUGCAUCAGUGGCUGAACAGCUGUGACCAACAUACCGUUUUGUCCACUGCAUGCCUGGUGCAACGAUUUUUUGUGUUGCUCUAAGACGGCCUUUGUUCAGGGUUGUUUGGUGGCGUGGAGAAAAUACGGUGCGAUCCUUGUCGUGCUCUGAUAAUCUUUUCCAAAGAACAAUGUUAUUGGACUCUUCAAGGGUAAGAGCCAGGCUGUGCUCUCUCAGACUGAUGAGUGCUUCAGCCAAAUCUUGCACAGCUCUGAAACCUUCCGUGUUGUUCUAUGGAACUAGGAUUGGGACAAUAUUCAGCGUAACUUGUACAAUAUUCAGCGUAACUUGUACCAAGUUUUGUAACUUCAAACAUGUUUCAUCACAUGUAACUUUGGAUUCGUAACUUGUAACUUUGGAUUCGUAACUUGUAAUUCUCAAUUCGUACUUGUAUUCUUGUUUUGUAACAGGAACAUUGUAUUUUGUACAUGUAUUUUUUAUUUUGUAAAAUCAAACAUUCAUUCAGAAACAUGAAACUUUUGUUUUGUAACUAGCAGACUUCCAAAUUGAAAAAAAUCAAGGUACAAGUUUGAAAUCAAAACUCUCAAAACACACAAUUCAUUCUACAGGUACGAACCAAAAUCCUACAGUGUUACAGAUCUUUUUGUCUCUAUUCUAGCGUCAGUGGGAGGAACUUGGGUGGAACCAAUGAGAGCACGAGUCUAACCCCCAAAUUCCACUACCUCCGCUCCGCUCCGGUCCGCCCCCGCCUUCCGCAGCCGCUCGCUUCCGAACUCAAUUUUUACUGGUACACGCUCUACAACGGCUCCGCUCCGGUGCGGAGACCUGAGGUGGGCAAACAAGCAUGCGCGGGAUUUUCGAGAUCUUGCGAUACAGUCCGAGCAAUAAACGCGGAAGUUAGAUCCAAACACCCGUUGUGUGGGAGAAGCAUCGGCAUGAGCUGUUUAAUCUGCCUAUCAUUUGUGUUGAGAGAUCAGCAGUGUUUGGAUCAACAAAGUGUGACUACUUUGAUAGUAGAAACUGUAUUUAUGGCUUACUUUUGUGCAUUUAAACUUCAGCCGCCAUUGAUAGUUGUUAAAAGUUGUUAAACCUGUGCAUAUGAAACAAAAAACGCCUUUUGUUUAUCGAUUUAUUGUGAAAAACGGAAAUUGUGCUUGCUGCUUUUCCUGUUGGACAGUUGUGAUUUCUGUCCAUUUACUGCGGAGGUGCUACGGCGUCCGGCGAAAAUAGGAUCGAUUCUAUUUUUGCCGGACGCCGGAACAGAGGGCGGCGCACGGCGCUGCACUGCCGGAGCACAGCCGCAGUAGUGGAAUUGCUCUGAUUGACUACAACGGGACCGAUUUUGCUCUGGCGUUCGUGUCGGAGCGGAGCGGAGGUAGUGGAAUUUGGGGGUUAGCUACCAAUCACGUUUCUCGUAUUCCUGUCCAAUCAUUGGGAGAGGAGGGCAGAGCUGUAGAGACGACACUCCGAAUGUCCGAAUCCACAGGAAGGGUGCUUAUGAGUACGGAUUCUUACCGGUCUAGCAAGGCCGGGUCCUUGAAGACCGCUAAAACCGGAAGUCAGCAGCUCUGAAUUCGGACAGUCUAGCCUUCACCUCUACAGUGACCCGUAGGUCCCGUCACAGCCGUGGCGGCAGCUACACGCAAAGGAAAGAUGCUAAAGCUAGCGAAAAUCAAGCAGGAAUAUUAAGGAGCUACAGCAGCUUCACGUCCAUCAGCAGCGUUUGUUCACAACCGUUUUCAGUCAGCAUGCACUGUGCUGCACAUCUGCCUCUGUGCUGGUGAAGUUGUGGGUCUGGAGGAUGAGCCUGAGGAAGAUGUGUGUGGAGGAGGUCAGUGGUGCUCUGUCCUGGAGGAGGUACCAGCAGACCACCACUACUGUACAGGGAGUACAGGGAGGUGGAGUGUACAGUCGGUAAAGACGGCUCUCCCUUGCCCUGCCUCCAACAUGCCUACAUCUAAAUAGGAUAGAUUAUCCAGAGUUAUCUCUGCAGUUAUGCUGCUAUAGGCUUAGACUGCUGGAGGAUACACUGACCACUUCUCACACUCUACUGCUUUCUUCUACAGUCUGCUCUUUAACUGUACUAUUUUGUCCAAUUUCAGCUAUUAACUUUAUUUUCUCUGUAAGUGUUUUUCUCCCCAGAAGAUGCGACAAUGACGUUCUGCUGAGCUGUGGUGGCCACAUGGAGGGGGCUUCGACUAGCACACUGCUGCUAACCACUUAAACAUUCUCUCUCUCCUGAUAAUAACUUUUUAUUUUCAUUGACUUUUGAUGUGCUACUACUAGUUUAUCCGUUUAAUUACAGAUCCACUAGGAUAAAUACAAUAAAGUUUAUCUUUCACAAACAGAAUAUUUACUAAGACAUCACAAUAUAACUGUAGACACAUUACUUGUCCGUGUGUGUGUGUGUGUGUGUGUGUGUGUGUGUGUGUGUGUGUGUGUGUGUGUGUGUGUGUGUGUGUGUGUGUGUGUGUGUGUGUGUGUGUGUGUGUGUGUGUGUCUGCCUGCUCCGUCUUCUCGAUCCCCAGUGAGUCGUGGAGGAUGGCUGCUUAUACUGAGCCAGGAUUCUCUGGAGGUUUCUUCCUGUUAAAAGGGAGUUUUCCUCUCCACUGUUGCUUUAUGCUUGCUUAGUAUGAGGAUUGCUGUAUAGUCACUGACACCAGUCAGUGACUUGAUGCAAUUUGCUGGGUUCCUUAUAUAGGAAAAAUUAUAUCUGAUUGGCUUAAUGAACUGUCCUGAAUUGGAAUUUUUAUUAUGUGAAGUGCCUUGAGACGACUCUUGUCGUGAUUUGGCGCUAUAUAAAUAAACUUGAAUUGAAUUGAAUUGAAUUAACAGGCAAGUCAUUCACAGAGAUGUAACAGCCGUCGUCUGAGCCAGCCCAGCAGGCCCUGUAGAUGGACGAUGGAGUGGACCGUGAGAGGAAGCGUCCCAAAGCUCUCUCUGCAGACCGUCCUGUAUGAUGUUCCUCUGACCAGAAACGUCCAGCCACGGGUCUGCUCCAGCCCUCCAUCCACGUCUGGAUCCUCCUGCAGCAGAUCCAGCUGCACUGUUAAAGACUUCCUGCUCACUCAGUUUAAAUAAAUGAUCCAGGAAGAGUCACUCAGGUUAAUCCUGCUUUAACCUUACAAAACUGGUCCAUACUGGUUUUGAUCUGUAAAUAAGUGUAACGUAUUAUAAAUAAUCUUGUCUCCUUACCAUCUUUUCAUUUUCUGUUCAUGUAACAUGUUCAAAAACAUCUGUAAUAAUAAAACUGGUGAUAAAAUCAAUGA